AAACACACCCUCUUUGAUUUGCACAAAGACUAAGGGUUUUGGAGACCCUUGUACUACUAAUUAUACUAAGGGUGU
rnacentral:tRNA from 1 species